UACGUAGGGGCAAGCGUUGUCCGGAUUUAUUGGGCGUAAAGAGCGUGUAGGCGGCCAGGUAGGUCAGCUGUGAAAACUCGAGGCUUAACCUCGAGACGCCGGCUGAAACCCUCUGGCUAGAGUCCGGAAGAGGAGAGCGGAAUUCCUGGUGUAGCGGUGGAAAUGCGCAGAUAUCAGGGAAGAAACACCCGUGGCGAAGGCGGCUCUCUGGGACGGUACUGACGCUGAGACGCGAAAGCGUGGGGGAGCGAAACAGG
rnacentral:rRNA from 1 species